GAUGAACGCUGGCGGCGUGCUUAACACAUGCAAGUCGAACGAUAAAGCCCAGCUUGCUGGGUGGAUUAGUGGCGAACGGGUGAGUAACACGUGAGUAACCUGCCCUUGACUCUGGGAUAAGCCUGGGAAACUGGGUCUAAUACUGGAUAUGACUUCUCAUCGCAUGGUGGGGGGUGGAAAGAUUUAUUGGUCUUGGAUGGACUCGCGGCCUAUCAGCUUGUUGGUGAGGUAAUGGCUCACCAAGGCGACGACGGGUAGCCGGCCUGAGAGGGUGACCGGCCACACUGGGACUGAGACACGGCCCAGACUCCUACGGGAGGCAGCAGUGGGGAAUAUUGCACAAUGGGCGCAAGCCUGAUGCAGCGACGCCGCGUGAGGGAUGACGGCCUUCGGGUUGUAAACCUCUUUCAGUAGGGAAGAAGCGAGAGUGACGGUACCUGCAGAAGAAGCGCCGGCUAACUACGUG
rnacentral:rRNA from 1 species